rnacentral:rRNA from 1 species
UACGGAGGGGGGUUAGCGUUGUUCGGAAUUACUGGGCGUAAAGCGCACGUAGGCGGAUAGAAAGUUGGGGGUGAAAUCCCGGGGCUCAACCCCGGAACUGCCUCCAAAACUCCUGGUCUUGAGUUCGAGAGAGGUGAGUGGAAUUCCGAGUGUAGAGGUGAAAUUCGUAGAUAUUCGGAGGAACACCAGUGGCGAAGGCGGCUACACUGGCUGAUACUGACGCUGAGGUGCGAAAGUGUGGGGAGCAAACAGGAUUAGAUACCCGGUAGUCC